rnacentral:rRNA from 1 species
GACGAACGCUGGCGGCGUGCCUAAUACAUGCAAGUCGAACGCAUUUUCCUUCAUCGUAGCUUGCUACACCGAAAGACAGUGAGUGACGAACGGGUGAGUAACACGUUGGUAACCCGCCCACCUGCGGGGGAUAACACUUGGAAACAGGUGCUAAUACCGCAGAAUUCCAUUUACCGCAUGGUAUAUGGAUGAAAGUUGUUUUUGCGUGACUGAUGGAUGGACCCGCGGUGCUUGUGCUAGGUGGUGGGGUCUAGGCCUACCAAGGCUGAGAUGCGUAGCCGGCCGCAGAGGGUGGUCGGCCACACUGGGACUGAGACACGGCCCAGGCUCCUGCGGGAGGCAGCAGUAGGGAGUCUUCGGCAAUGGACGCUAGUCGGAACGAGCAUCGACGCGUGAGUGGAGGAGGAUGUCGGAUUGUAAGUCGCUGUUGUUUGAGGAGAGCGAGGAUGAGAGUGGAAAGUUCAGCCCUUGACGGUAUCUAAACAGGAAGCCACGGCUAACUACGUG